rnacentral:tRNA from 1 species
GCUCCCAUAGCUCAGCUGGAUAGAGCAACGGCCUUCUAAGCCGUAGGUCGCAGGUUCGAAUCCUGCUGGGGGCG